rnacentral:rRNA from 1 species
UACGUAGGUGGCGAGCGUUGUCCGGAUUUACUGGGCGUAAAGAGCGCGCAGGCGGUCGUUCAAGUCGCGUGUGAAAGCCCCCGGCUCAACUGGGGAGGGUCACGCGAUACUGAUCGACUCGAAGGCAGGAGAGGGAAGUGGAAUUCCCGGUGUAGUGGUGAAAUGCGUAGAUAUCGGGAGGAACACCAGUGGCGAAGGCGGUUCUCUGGGCAUGACCUGACGCUGAGGAGCGAAAGUGUGGGGAGCGAACAGG